GAUGAACGCUGGCGGCGUGCCUAAUACAUGCAAGUCGAGCGAACGGACGAGAAGCUUGCUUCUCUGAUGUUAGCGGCGGACGGGUGAGUAACACGUGGAUAACCUACCUAUAAGACUGGGAUAACUUCGGGAAACCGGAGCUAAUACCGGAUGAUAUUUUGAACCGCAUGGUUCAAAAGUGAAAGACGGUCUUGCUGUCACUUAUAGAUGGAUCCGCGCUGCAUUAGCUAGUUGGUAAGGUAACGGCUUACCAAGGCAACGAUGCAUAGCCGACCUGAGAGAGUGAUCGGCCACACUGGAACUGAGACACGGUCCAGACUCCUACGGGAGGCAGCAGUAGGGAAUCUUCCGCAAUGGGCGAAAGCCUGACGGAGCAACGCCGCGUGAGUGAUGAAGGUCUUCGGAUCGGAAAACUCUGUUAUUAGGGAAGAACAUAUGUGUAAGUAACUGUGCACAUCUUGACGGUACCUAAUCAGAAAGCCACGGCUAACUACGUG
rnacentral:rRNA from 1 species